UGUAAAUGUGUGUGUGAGAGAGAGAAACUCAGAGAGAGAGAGAGAGAGAGAGAGAGAGAGAGAGAGAGAGAGAGAGAGAGAGAGAGAGAGAGAGAGAGAGAGAGAGAGAGAGAGAUUUAGAACAGGGCUGUCCUCAGCAUCCUUAUUUCUGAACUUUUGCUUUAAGGUCCUUGGUGAGGUUCAAUACUUUCUUCAUGGCGAGUUGAGAGGAAAACAUUAAUAACAGGAGCUAUCCAACAGAGCUUGGCUUACCUCAACAAGCAGCUGAGAAGUAUUUUAGAGAUCCAGCACUUAUUGGGAUUAUACUGUGAGAGUUCCUUCUAUCAUGAGUGCAAUCUGAUUUCUCUGGACUUUCCUUAGCUUCUGGAAAACUGAUAAUUGCUUCACAGGAGGAUGCUCCAGGCUCAGAGGUUCACUCAGAUCAACCUCCCUGGUGGGCUUCCCAAAGAAAAGUGAGUUCAACUGUUUGGAUCUUCUCAGUUCCUCUGUUCCUUCUCCAAAAUUCUCUCUUAUUCUUGCCCUUCCCCAACUCAAGUUGGUCUUCCAGAAUGAUGAGUCUGCUUUCCUCUCUUAUAGCUAUACAUAGAAUAAUUCAGUACAACAAUAAUUAGAGC
rnacentral:lncRNA from 1 species